GAUCAAGAACGUAGCGAAAUGCGAUAAGUAAUGUGAAUUGCAGAAUUCAGUGAAUCAUCGAAUCUUUGAACGCACAUUGCGCCCCCCAGUAUUCUGGCGGGCAUGCCUGUUCGAGCGUCAUUUCAACCAUCAAGCCCUGCUUGUGUUGGGGUCCUGCGGCUGCCCGCAGGCCCUGAAAACCAGUGGCGGGCUCGCUAGUCACACCGAGCGCAGUAGCACAUCUCGCUCAGGGCGUGCGGCGGGCUCCAGCCGUUAAAGCACCCACCUUUCGCAAGGUUGACCUCGGAUCAGGUAGGAAUACCCGCUGAACUUAAGCAUAUCAAUAAGCGGAGGA
rnacentral:misc_RNA from 1 species